AAAAUUACAAAAAAUGAGGAACGAUCAUGGCGAGGCGGUGACUAUGGUUCCUUAGGUCCUAAUUGAUGGCCCGAAAUUUUUUAGGUGAUCCGAGUCCGGCGGCCCGGCCCACUUGGAAGGCGUGGGCAAUAGCACUAAAAAAUAUGGUAAUCGAGCGGAAUUCUAGUUUUUUGGCCGAAAAACGCAAUAAAUGAGGAACGAUCAUGGCGGGGCGGUGACUAUGGUUCGUUAGAUCGUAUUUGAUGGCCCGUAAAAUUUUAGGCGAUCGGGGUCCCUCCCGGGACCACUCGGAAGGCGUAAGCUAUAGCACACUAAAAUAUGCAAAUCGCGCGGAGUUCUAGUUUUUUGGCCGAAAAAUGCAAAGCAUUUGGAAAGAUCAUGGUGUGGCGGUGACUAUGGUACCUUAGGUCGUAUUUGAUAGUCCGAAAAAAGGUUAGGCGAUCGGGGUCUGCGGCUCCCCGGACCACUUGGAAGGCGUGGGCUAUAGGACAUGAAAAUAUGGAAAUCGCGCGAAAUUCUAGUUUUUUGGCCGAAAAACAGAAAACACUAGGAACGAUCAUGGCUGGGCUGUGACUAUGGUUCCUUAGGUCUUAUUUGAUAGUCCGGAAAUAUUUUAGGCGAUAGGGGUCCGGAGACCCGGGACCACUCGGAAGGCGUGGGAUAUAACACACAAAAAUA
rnacentral:lncRNA from 1 species